UAGGGAAUAUUGGUCAAUGGGCGAGAGCCUGAACCAGCCAUGCCGCGUGAAGGAAGACGGCCUUCUGGGUUGUAAACUUCUUUUAUCAGGGAACAAAACCCCCAUGCGUGGGGAACUGAGUGUACCUGAUGAAUAAGCACCGGCUAACUCCGUGCCAGCAGCCGCGGUAAUACGGAGGGUGCAAGCGUUGUCCGGAUUUAUUGGGUUUAAAGGGUGCGUAGGCGGGGUGUUAAGUCAGUGGUGAAAGCCUGCAGCUCAACUGCAGAACUGCCAUUGAUACUGGCACUCUUGAGUACGGAUGAGGUAAGCGGAAUUUAUGAUGUAGCGGUGAAAUGCAUAGAUAUCAUAAAGAACACCGAUAGCGAAGGCAGCUUACUAGACCGUAACUGACGCUGAGGCACGAAAGCGUGGGGAGCGAACAGGAUUAGAUACCCUGGUAGUCCACGCCGUAAACGAUGCUCACUCGGUGUUGGCGAUAUACAGUCAGCGCCCAAGCGAAAGCGUUAAGUGAGCCACCUGGGGAGUACGCUCGCAAGAGUG
rnacentral:rRNA from 1 species